UCAGAAUUAGCAUCCUUUGUAACAAGUAUAGGAACAAAUACAUCCACUAAAAGUGUAUGGAGACAUGGAGUUCACAACUGCAUCAGAUCCAACAUUCAUAUGAAAUAUGUAAAUAAUUAAAAGAUACUACAAACUAGAACUAAGCUUUCCAUACAUUAUACAUAAUAUGUGUUCAUUUAAAGACUAAUUCUUGUGUGGUUGCUCCUUGCUCCUGCAAUGCGUUCCAAUUCUAAAUUCUCAGCUACCCUGGAAGAAAAAAUUAACAAAGAGAAGUUUAGAACAUAAGCUUUUGGAUUAGUGCAAGAUGAAAUGUUCUAUGAUGAAACUGUGAGAGAUGUUCCUUACAAAUGUCUUGACGUUGUCUUGGAGCACAAAUGUCUUAGGUUGUGUUGGAGUGGUCAGCUUUGGCUUUUUGACCUAAAAUGUUUCGAAAUAGUAUCAGAUUGGCAGGCAAACAACAAUUGGCAUAACCAUGCAAGCGUAUGUGAUUCAACUGACUGAAACUAUAUCUAGUUUGGAUAUAUUUCAAAAUGUACAUAACUUGACUUGUUCUAAUCUUACUCAUGCCUAAUUAAGAUGCAUAAACACUUCCCCAAAUGGUACAUUUAUGAAACAUACUGAGCAUCUAUGUAGCUAAAGUAAAAAAAAUCAAGAAAACAAUAUGUACAGUUCAUUAGUGGUGAAACAAGUACGCCUUGUCUGCCGCACAAAGUCAUGUGAAGCCAUGUAUAACUAAUAAAGUGCAGACCACAUAGACAUGUCAUUUUGCUUCGUAAGUAGUAGGGCAAGCCAAGAGACGCUGGUUUGCGAAAGCUAAAACUAUACAUAGUUAAUCAAAGAUGAGCAACUUGAUAAAAUGACAACACUUUUCCUCGUACAUUUAUCGUAUGACCCACCUUUCAUUUUUUUGAUAAAACGGCACACGUUUCAUUGAUAGCUAGACAAAAUGGCACAAGCUAAACGUUUUCCUCUAUUUCUACAUAUGGGCCCGCACAUCAGAUUAUUUGGGACAGUUUUUCCCUUUAGGCCCUGUUCGGGACAUGGGUUGACAAAACAGAGGAGAAGGAAAAAGCAUAGGUAUGGGAUGGAGUGCAAAGUGAAACCUACAGGCUUCCACUAAGAGGAAUGGGAACUUAUGGGGGUGUUCUGAACAAAGGGAAAAAGUUUUGGAAUCUGCACACUUCUCUAGGAAACAGAACUAGCCGUUAUGUGCUUGGGCAUUGUAUUCUUGCUGUUGUUUCUCUAGCCAUUGCUUCUUCUUUCUCUUGCUAUUUAAGCACAAACAAUGCACUGCCAGCAACUUGCUUGUCAUUUCUUCUCCUCCCCUGUAAGAACUUCUCUAGGAAAGCAUAGUUCAUUCUUGUAGCAGGAAUCCAUUCAUUCUUCUAACCUCAAAAUCCAUUCAUUCCUGAAGCUGAAUGUAUCCAAACUAUAGCCGGC
rnacentral:lncRNA from 1 species